GCACUGGUGGUUCAGUGGUAGAAUUCUGGCCUGCCACGCGGGAGGCCCGGUUUCGAUUCCCGGCCAGUGCA
rfam:Nematostella vectensis strain CH2 x CH6 NEMVEscaffold_523_Cont29316, whole genome shotgun sequence.